UUCUGGCUCAGGAUGAACGCUGGCGGCGUGCCUAACACAUGCAAGUCCGAGCGAUUCUCUUCGGAGAAGAGCGGCGGACGGGUGAGUAACGCGUGGGUAACCUGCCUCAUACACAUGGAUAACAUACCGAAAGGUAUGCUAAUACAGGAUAACAUAAGAGAUUCACAUGGAUUUCUUAUCAAAGCUCCGGCGGUAUGAGAUGGACCCGCGUCUGAUUAGCUAGUUGGUAAGGUAACGGCUUACCAAGGCGACGAUCAGUAGCCGACCUGAGAGGGUGAUCGGCCACAUUGGAACUGAGACACGGUCCAAACUCCUACGGGAGGCAGCAGUGGGGAAUAUUGCACAAUGGGCGAAAGCCUGAUGCCAGCAACGCCGCGUGAGUGAUGAAGGCCUUCGGGUCGUAAAACUCUGUCCUCAAGGAAGAUAAUGACGGUACUUGAGGAGGAAGCCCCGGCUAACUACGUGCCAGCCGCAGC
rnacentral:rRNA from 1 species